rnacentral:misc_RNA from 1 species
GAUGAAGAACGCAGCGAAAUGCGAUAAGUAAUGUGAAUUACAGAAUUCAGUGAAUCAUCGAAUCUUUGAACGCAUCUUGCGCUCCUUGGUAUUCUGAGGAGCAUGCCUGUUUGAGUGUCAUUAAUUUCUCAACUACACUGACUUUGAAUUGGUGUGGCUUGGAUUUGGGGGGAAAAUUGUUGUGGGCUUUUUGUAUAGUCUGCUCCCCUGAAAUUGAUUAGCGGUACCUUUGUGGAACUGUCUACAGGUGUGAUAAUUAUCUACAUCUUAGACAUCUGCUGGAAUGCUGCUUUCUAAACCUUACUUGUAUUGACAAUCUUGACCUCAAAUCAGGUAGGACUACCCGCUGAACUUAAGCAUAUCAAUAAGCGGAGGA